UUGGAGGGCAAGUCUGGUGCCAGCAGCCGCGGUAAUUCCAGCUCCAAUAGUGUAUAUUAAAGUUGUUGCAGUUAAAAAGCUCGUAGUUGAAUUUCGGGAUUAGUACGCUGGUCGUGCCUUCGGUACGUACUGGUGUUACUGAUUUCUACCUUCUGACGAACCAUCAUGUCAUUAAUUUGGUGUGGUGGGGAAUCAGGACUGUUACUUUGAAAAAAUUAGAGUGUUUAAAGCAGGCUCGCGCUUGAAUACAUUAGCAUGGAAUAAUGAAAUAGGACGUUGAUCCUAUUUUGUUGGUUUCUAGGAUUGACGUAAUGAUUAAUAGGGAUAGUUGGGGGCAUUAGUAUUCAAUUGUCAGAGGUGAAAGUCUUGGAUUUAUUGAAGACUAACUACUGCGAAAGCAUUUGCCAAGGAUGUUUUCAUUAAUCAAGAACGAAAGUUAGGGGAUCGAAGACGAUCAGAUACCGUCGUAGUCUUAACCAUAAACUAUGCCGACUAGGGAUCGGAUGAUGUUAUUUUUAAUGACUCAUUCGGCGCCUUACGGGAAAC
rnacentral:rRNA from 1 species